CUGCGGGUGGCAGCAGUGGGGAAUAUUGCACAAUGGGCGCAAGUCUGAUGCAGCCAUGCCGCGUGUAUGAAGAAGGCCUUCGGGUUGUAAAGUACUUUCAGCGGGGAGGAAGGGAGUAAAGUUAAUACCUUUGCUCAUUGACGUUACCCGCAGAAGAAGCACCGGCUAACUCCGUGCCAGCAGCCGCGGUAAUACGGAGGGUGCAAGCGUUAAUCGGAAUUACUGGGCGUAAAGCGCACGCAGGCGGUUUGUUAAGUCAGAUGUGAAAUCCCCGGGCUCAACCUGGGAACUGCAUCUGAUACUGGCAAGCUUGAGUCUCGUAGAGGGGGGUAGAAUUCCAGGUGUAGCGGUGAAAUGCGUAGAGAUCUGGAGGAAUACCGGUGGCGAAGGCAGCCCCCUGGACGAAGACUGACGCUCAGGUGCGAAAGCGUGGGGAGCAAACAGGAUUAGAUACCCCCGUAGUC
rnacentral:rRNA from 1 species